UUCAUUCUCUCUCUUUCUCGCGCUCGCCUCCCAGAAGAGUAUUGUGGUCUACUUGCAGAAGCAGAACAUCCGCCGCAUUGUCGAAGUGAUAUGUUAGAAAUGCUUAUUUAGUAUGAAGUUAUUGGUGCAGUGCUGCCACAUGAGUCUUGCCAUGCUCCUGCACUAGUUAUUUGUUAAGUAGCUAACAGUAGCUAGCUUGAUAGUUAUGGAGCAUGGGGUCUUGCAGAACCAUGCACGUGGGGAACUCGGAACAUUUUUAAACCAUGCCAGGCUAUUCUGUCUGGACCUGGCCUGUGUGGACUGAACUGGAGCAGCACAUGGCAGAUGCUGGCUGAAUUACUUGAUGGCGAGGAGACUUCACCUCAAAAGGUGUGGAACUGAACCAAGGAUGUGGAGACAUAAUCUGAAAAGAUUUGGGAGACUACUCCCUCUGGGCGAACUGAAGCCAUACACACGGCAAUAGAGUCCGCCCAAAUGACUUGAUGGUGAGGAGACUUCACCUCGAAAGGUGUGACGCUUCAUCAAUGAGUUGAUUGCAUGGCGACUCAUCUGGCAAGGUGUGGAACUGAACCAAGGAUGUGGAGACCUAAUCUGAAAAGGUGUGAAGCUGCCCCAAUGAGUUAAUGGGAAGGAGACUUCACUUGGCAAGUGUACCUCUUUGAAUGACAUCCUGCAAGUCUCCGAAAUAGACAUGUAGACUGGGGUCUUCCUCGUCUGAUUCUCAGCCCUCACCUACCCUUCCAGAAUCUACAAGGAACCCUAUUCUAUCCCUUUAUUAGUUAUUCUCCCUGAUUUAUUGGUGUGUGAAUGAUGGACUGGAAUUACUGUCAGAUUGUUUAGUGGUGAUAUUUGGUUUUCUGAACAUCUCAAAAGUGUUGGUUAUGGGCCCCCACCCCCUGGGUGGGAUAAUUUAAAACGGGUUACUGUUAUACACAGUGGUAACUCCUAUAAACUUCAAUACAUUUAAAUAGGUUUAACUCUGUAUGUGCCUUCAGUGUAUUCACACCCUUUGACUUUCUCCACAUUUUGUAUUACAGCUUGACUUUCAAAUGGAUUAAAUUGAGUUUGACACUGGCCUACACCAUAAUGUCAGUGGAUAAUUUUCUUACGCAAAGCUUUGCAUAUGUGUUCAACACCUUUUGUUAUGGGAGCCUAUACGUUCUGGAAUAAAUUUGCUUACAAAUUCA